CCUCUUGAUUAAACCAUAAGAGGUCCAGCCUGCCCAGUGACAUUGUUCAACGGCCGCGGUAUCCUAACCGUGCGAAGGUAGCGUAAUCACUUGUCCUUUAAAUGAAGACUAGUAUGAAUGGCCCCACGAAAGCUAUACUGUCUCCUUUUUCUAAUCAGUUAAACUAAUCUCCCCGUGAAGAAGCGGGGAUAAACAUAUUAGACGAGAAGACCCUAUGGAGCUUUAAACAACUGAAACAUUUGUAUACCCCCCUUCACCUACCCACAUUUAACUCCACAUCUUGUUUCUAGUUUUAGGUUGGGGUGACCACGGAGAAAAAACUAACCUCCACGAUGAAAGAGACAUCUCUAAACAAAAAGCUACAUCUUUAUGUAUUAAUACAUUAACCUUUAUUGACCCA
rnacentral:rRNA from 1 species